rnacentral:rRNA from 1 species
GACAAAAAGUGCAAACAUUGUUCGGAAUUACUGGGCGUAAAGCGCGUGUAGACGGCUCUGCAAGUCGGGUGUGAAAUCCCACGGCUCAACCAUGGAAGUGCACUCGAAACUGCAGGGCUAGAGUUCUGGAGAGGAAGGUGGAAUGCUUGGUGUAGAGGUGAAAUUCGUAGAUAUCAAACGGAACACCGAUGGCGAAGACGGCCUUCUGAACAGUAACUAACGCUGAGACGCGAAAGCAUAAAGAGCAAACAGG